rnacentral:rRNA from 1 species
UACGUAGGUGGCGAGCGUUGUCCGGAAUUACUGGGUGUAAAGCGCGUGUAGGCGGGAGGCCAAGUCUGCGGUGAAAUCGCUCGGCUCAACUGGGCGGGGUCCGUGGAAACUGGUCACCUGGAGGACGGUAGAGGCGAGUGGAAUUCCCGGUGUAGUGGUGAAAUGCGUAGAGAUCCGGAGGAACACCAGCGGCGAAGGCGGCAUCCUGGACUGGUCCUGACACUCAGGAGCGAAAGCGUGGGGAGCGAGUCCGG